rnacentral:tRNA from 1 species
GCCCGGAUAGCUCAGUCGGUAGAGCAGGGGAUUGAAAAUCCCCGUGUCGGCAGUUCAAUCCUGUCUCCGGGCACCA